GUCACAUGGGAUGAGGACUUUGAGCACGCACUGCCAAUAACUACACAGGGAGAGUGCACGAGGCCAAGCCCCUUCGUCCUUGCUGCCAUCACAAGAGAAGUCUCUGUACCACAGACUGGAUUCGCACUGAGACAAAUGGACUCACAUGUGUAUUAUAGCUAUGCAAGCGUAUUCCAAGUGGGGACCUCGAACCACAAAGCUGGAGUAAGAGAAACAGAAUGAAAGGAAUACAUGGCCGCAUUUGAGGAGUGCAGGAUUAUAUCAGCACUUGGGAUGAACAAGAAGAAGAAGAAAAAGAAGGAGGAGGAGGAGAAGGAGAAGAAGGAGGAGGAGAAGAAGAGACCAGACUUUUGAGAGCAGCCUGACUGGCAUAGUGAAACUGUAUCUUUAAAAACAAGACAGAGAAAUGUUUAUAUUUUUUUUAUUUUCUCCUUUUAUAGUUAUAUGUUAUUUAUUUAUUUUUUAGAAAAUAUUUUUACAUAUAUAUACACAUAUUUAUAUAUCUUACUCUCUUCUCUCUUUUGGCACCCUCAGGUUAGUAUCCUUUGUUCUUCUAGACAGUAUUACAUAUUUAUUGUAUGUACUUAUUGUAUUAUAUAUUUAAUGUGCAUAUAUAUGAUUUCAUGCAACUGUACAAAAUCUAGGAAUCACAAAUUAAAGAAAACUUAUGAUAGUUACACAUCA
rnacentral:lncRNA from 1 species